AUUGGGUUGGCCAGAAAGUUCAUUUGGGUUUUUCAUUACCAUGGCAUGGGAGAACCGGAACGAACUUUUUGGCCAACCCAA
ensembl:miRNA